CAAAUUAAACCCUAAUCGUGUUCAUCUCUGUUCUCUGCUCAGCGGCGACCUCUGAACUCACACUGAAUCUGAAACGGUCGGAGUUAUCGUGGCUUUGAAUGCAAGCUUAGCUUGGUUGGUUGAGUCGGUGGACCUGCGAGUAUAAAUAGCACCAGUCAUUGUUCCGGUACGGUCCUCUCGCGUCUUCUGCGAUUCUGGGAAACCCGAGGGGGAGGAUAACUGAUGGGAUUGGACAUGCUCCUUUUUGAUUCAAAAGAGAAGGUAGCCAGAUGUAACAAGGUAGCAAGAUUAGCGCAUGGGUACAUGAUCAGAAAUGUCACCAGGUGAUAUAGCUUUAAAGGUGUGGCGGAAUAGGUUUUCUAAGCUUCAUCUCAACUUCUCAUUAGCACUUCCAUCAUUUACCAAACAGAUUUAUGGGCCUACCAAAAA